GACGAACGCUGGCGGCGUGCUUAACACAUGCAAGUCGAACGGAAAGGCCCUGCUUUUGUGGGGUGCUCGAGUGGCGAACGGGUGAGUAACACGUGAGUAACCUGCCCUUGACUUUGGGAUAACUUCAGGAAACUGGGGCUAAUACCGGAUAGGAGCUCCUGCUGCAUGGUGGGGGUUGGAAAGUUUCGGCGGUUGGGGAUGGACUGGCGGGUUAUCAGCUUGUUGGUGGGGUAGUGGCUUACCAAGGCUUUGACGGGUAGCCGGCCUGAGAGGGUGACCGGCCACAUUGGGACUGAGAUACGGCCCAGACUCCUACGGGAGGCAGCAGUGGGGAAUAUUGCACAAUGGGCGGAAGCCUGAUGCAGCAACGCCGCGUGCGGGAUGACGGCCUUCGGGUUGUAAACCGAUUUCGCCUGUGACGAAGCGUGAGUGACGGUAAUGGGUAAAGAAGCACCGGCUAACUACGUG
rnacentral:rRNA from 1 species